GUUUUGUUAAAAAAGUGGCUGGAUUUGCGCAAUUUUUUGCGGUUGCCAUAGGUUUUGUGACAAUGGCGUUAAUCAACUAUUACCUGGAUGAUGAUGAAUAACAAUUAAAUUCAAAUGAACGUUGCAUAGUUUUAAGUUAAGAGCUUUAAGUAAACUAGUUAUUGAUCAAAAUAAAGAGAAUUAAAUCUCAAAA